rnacentral:rRNA from 1 species
UACGGAGGGUGCAGCGUUAUCCGGAAUUCACUGGGUUUAAAGGGUGCGUAGGUGGCUUGUAAGUCAGUGGUGAAAUGCCGCAGCUCAACUGCGGACUGCCAUUGAUACUGCUUAGCUUGAAUCACGUCGAGGUGGAUGGAAUAUUACAUGUAGCGGUGAAAUGCUUAGAUAUGUAAUAGAACACCGAUUGCGAAGCAGUUCACUAGGCGUGUAUUGACACUGAGGCACGGAAAGCGUGGGGAUCAAACCAGG